rnacentral:rRNA from 1 species
CCUACGGGUGGCUGCAGUGGGGAAUAUUGCACAAUGGCCGAAACCCUGAUGCAGCGACGCCGCGUGAGUGAAGAAGUAUUUCGGUAUGUAAAGCUCUAUCUGCAGGGAAGAAAUAGCGCCCUUUGGGUCGCCAGACGGUACCUGCUUAAGAAGCCCCGGCUAACUACGUGCCAGCAGCCGCGGUAAUACGUAGGGGGCAAGCGUUAUCCGGAUUUACUGGGUGUAAAGGGAGCGGAGACGGCAGCGAAAGUCUGAAGUGAAAUGCCGGGGCUUAACCCCGGAACUGCUUUGGAAACUGUGGAGCUAGAGUGCAGGAGAGGUAAGUGGAAGGCGUAGUGUAGCGGUGAAAUGCGUAGAUAUUAGGAGGAACACCAGUGGCGAAGGCGGCGUACUGGACUGUAACUGACGUUGAGGCUCGAAAGCGUGGGGAGCAAACAGGAUUAGAUACCCGGGUAGUC